rnacentral:rRNA from 1 species
UGGGGAAUAUUGCACAAUGGGCGCAAGCCUGAUGCAGCCAUGCCGCGUGUGUGAAGAAGGCCUUCGGGUUGUAAAGCACUUUCAGCGGGGAGGAAGGCGACACGGUUAAUAACCGUGUUGAUUGACGUUACCCGCAGAAGAAGCACCGGCUAACUCCGUGCCAGCAGCCGCGGUAAUACGGAGGGUGCAAGCGUUAAUCGGAAUUACUGGGCGUAAAGCGCACGCAGGCGGUCUGUCAAGUCGGAUGUGAAAUCCCCGGGCUCAACCUGGGAACUGCAUUCGAAACUGGCAGGCUUGAGUCUUGUAGAGGGGGGUAGAAUUCCAGGUGUAGCGGUGAAAUGCGUAGAGAUCUGGAGGAAUACCGGUGGCGAAGGCGGCCCCCUGGACAAAGACUGACGCUCAGGUGCGAAAGCGUGGGGAGCAAACA